UAAAUCAAAUAUUAACAAUAAAUCACAAAGCAUAAAAAUAAAUCAAGACACAAGUAUUUUUAUAAAGGUUCAACUUUCUCAAAUACUUAUGUCCUCUCCCUUGGCUCACCAAGGAGUUUCAAAUCCAAUACAAAAUCAUGCUUUUUAACAGGAUCAAGUGAUAACCUUCACAAUCGGCUUUUCAUGAGAUCAAGUGAAAACCCUUGCAAUGACGAUUUCAUGAGAUUUAACAAUAACCCUUAUAGCUAUUUUUUAACGAGAUCAAAUGUUAACCCUUGCACUGACUUUUUAACGAAAUCAACUGACAACCCUCACACUAUCUCUUCAAGGUUAGGUUAGAACUGUCAUGACCUGGAACUCCCCUCGAGCCUGUGACAACCGCCGCGAUGUCUCGAUCGACACUCAUUACCCGAAAUGUCAACCGAAACCCCGCAAGGCUUUAAUAUUAGCUUCUCAUUUCACCUGUGAGUAACUGUUGCCAAAUAUCAUGUUCUAACAGAUUUUAAACUAUUUCCAAAUCAAAACAAUAGAAAAAUAAUUUUUUUCCAUAGGGGCAUUUUGGUCAUUUUUUGUCAAAAAUCUCUAAAUCUGCAAAAAAUGUAGUAUGCGAGUACAAAACACAUAAUUCAUAAUCAAAAAUAAGUUUAAACAUCUAAAACCUUCAUUUAAAAUGAAAUUAUGAUUAUUAGAAUAAAAUAAAAAUAAUGAAUAAAAUACUCAAUUUUCUCAUAAAAUAAUACUUUUAGAACACUACAUAAAUAAUUUUUUACAGCGUAAAAGCAAACUAAAUUCAUAUAUAUCGUAAUAUAGUAAGCCAGAGUAUUUAAUUUAAUUUACAGUAACAAGUGGGCUCACGAACGACCAAAAGUAUUAAAAGCAGUAAACCUACAGUUUUUGAGGAAAUAAAGCCAACUGUAGCCUUUGACGAUAUCAGCUAUCUACAGCCUAUACUGAGCCUGAAAUGGGUGGAAAGGAGGGUGGUGAGAUUAUAAAAUCCCAGUGAGUAAACAAAUACCAUCUAAAAUAUCUAAAAUUGAGUAAAUGGAGAUAGAUAAAAUAGUUUAACAUACUGUAAUUCAUCAAUUUUCAACAUAUUUCAACCAAAUAAAAUCAAUUCAUAUAAAUCGAGUAGUCAACAUGGCUUAUGAAUUUCUUAAAAGCUUUGGCUCGUGCCAAAAUCAUUCUCAUACCCAGUUAUCAGGGAUGCCUUCAUCAAGGGCUAUCCCAACCGAGUUCGCCAAGGCUGUUAAAAAGUCAUGUACGCAUAAAUCAUGUUUUUAUUUUAAAAACAUAGUCGUUUCUUGGCGUUGGCUGAGUUCACCCUCACGUGGUGGUUUAGCAUGAAGUGAACUCUAAAGUGUUAACCUUAGGAGUUAUCCACCAGCGCCUCUCAUACUGAGGUAAGAAUAUAACGGGGUUUACCAUGCCACUCUAAUAGGCUGGUCUACGGAAAUCCGCCCACUGCAGUAAGCUAAUCAAUAUCCCACCAAUUCAAUAAAAAUUCAACAGCAUGACAUGGCAAUUUAUCAUUAUCCAGCCUAUCAAGGCAAACAACAGUAUAUACAUUUCAACACAAAUACCAAUUCAGCCAUUCAUGCCAAUAUUGUCAUCAGCCAAUCAAUUAGAACCAUAAAUUCACAAUACACCAAAUGGUCUCCAAUUACUCUAUUUUCAAAGCCAUUAUUUAAUUUUAAGACCAUUUAUGAAAUCAUUUUUUUUAAACACAUUUUGUUUAUAAAACUUAAAAAUUUACCAUUUAAACUCAUGUUCCAUAAAAUCACAAAAUCGAAGAAAAACCACUCUAGAUAAUUAAGACGAUAGUAAGGUUACUCACUAUUUCGGAAAUCGAAUUCCAAGUACUCCGAUUCUUGAUUCCUCGGGUACUAUCGCUUUACUUUUGCCAGAAUGCUCACCACCUAGACAUAAUGCACAAUAAGCCAUUU
rnacentral:lncRNA from 1 species